rnacentral:rRNA from 1 species
CCUACGGGUGGCAGCAGUGGGGAAUAUUGCACAAUGGGGGAAACCCUGAUGCAGCGACGCCGCGUGAGUGAAGAAGUAAUUCGUUAUGUAAAGCUCUAUCAGCAGGGAAGAAAAUGACGGUACCUGAGUAAGAAGCCCCGGCUAACUACGUGCCAGCAGCCGCGGUAAUAAGUAGGGGGCAAGCGUUAUCCGGAUUUACUGGGUGUAAAGGGAGCGUAGACGGCAGUGCAAGUCUGGAGUGAAAGGCGGGGGCUCAACCCCCGGACUGCUCUGGAAACUGUACGGCUGGAGUGCAGGAGUGGUAAGUGGAAUUCCUAGUGUAGCGGUGAAAUGCGUAGAUAUUAGGAGGAACGCCAGUGGCGAAGGCGGCUUACUGGACUGUAACUGACGUUGAGGCUCGAAAGCGUGGGGAGCAAACAGGAUUAGAUACCCCUGUAGUC